ensembl:lncRNA
CUUUAACUUAUUAAACAAAUCUAAAAAUGUUUUUUCUUUGUAUAGAUAAAUUAAAGCAAUUUUUUAAAAAAAAUGGUAUGUCUAUUUUUUGUUUGUUUUCAUUUAUUUGUUUUAGAAUGACGGGGAAAAUGGAAGGAGAAAAAAAAACAAUGCUAAAAAGCCUGGAGAUGACCACAUAUGAAAGGACCAUGUGUGCAAAGGACUGCUGGAAAAUGAAUCAGGGAUGGCCUGGAUCCUGCCAUGUAAAUCAAAGAAGAGAGGGCCUGACUUAGCCGCCUAGCCUGGUUCACCUGGAACCCAUUAGGAUACAGGAUCAUAAACACCUCUAUUUUCCCUUCAGAGAGAGACCAGAACCACUGGAGUUAAGCUACCUGCAUAAGAGUUGAGUGCGAUCAGCUGUACUUAAUCUUUAAAUGUCCAACCCGCUGAUAACCUUUGGUUUGCUUUGAUAACUAUGAAAUAAAUUCUCACUGCAUUGGAUACUGGCAUUCUGGUUUUUAUUCAAGGCUGUAUUGCAGAUGUCAUAGAAUUUUGGACUGGACAGCAGUCCUUGGAGAUCUCUGGGUCCAGUUACUGGCUUUCAGGCACUUAAUUUCUAAGCCUUCCUCUGCCAACUGUAAAUUUCUUCAGGGAAUGACAUGGCAUUUGUGCAUUACCAACCUUUAGGUACUUUAUGGGGUGAAAACCAUUUGGAGGUGGGAGAAAGGGAAAAAAAAGAAAGAUUCAUCAGAUCCAAAGCUUUACAACAUAGUAUAACAGAAAGAAUGCAGUUGAAGUUUUGAGCAUCUUGGGUUUGAAUUCAACUCUUCUAUUCUUGCCCCUCCUCCCAUCCCCUGUUUCCCAUCCCCCAGCAGUGAGAUCUUGGGAAAAUAUUAACUCUGUUGGCCUUGUUUGUUUUUUCCUCUGUAAAAUGAGGGCAGUGUUCGAUGCCUCUCAAACUUGCAUGUAUAUAUCAACCACUUGGGGAUCUUGUUUAAAUGCCGUUUCUGAUUCAAGCAGGGCUGGAGUGGAACUCUAGAUCCUACAUUUCUAAAAAGCUCCCAGUGGAUGCCAACUCUGUGGGUCUGAGGAUCAUGCUAUGAUUAGUAAAGGACUAAAUCAGUGGUUCUGGCUAAAUCACAUAAAGAGCAGUUAAAAACACUGAUGGACUCAUUUAAAACCAGUUAACUCAGUAUCUCUAUUGGUGCAGUCCAGACACUGAGAGUCUUAAAAACUCUCAGGUGAUCCCGAUUCUGAUAUGCAGCCGUGGCUGAGAACCAUAAGCCUGGGUCAGCGAUUCUGAAACUUGAGGGUGCAUCAGAAGAACCUACGGGACUUGUGUGACAACACAGGUUUCUGGGCACCACCCCCAGAAAUUUUGAUUCAGUGAAUCUGGGCAGGGCCCCUAAAUUUGCAUUUCCCAAUUGAUGUUGACACUGCUGGUCUGGGGACCACAUUUUGAGAAAACUGGUCUAAAUGAUCUCUAAGGUCCCUUUCAGCUCUGAACAUAGCUUAUGCCAUCAAGAAAUUCUUCUUUUUUCCAUAGCACAUAUUCAAAUAUAGAUUAUUUGUGACUAUAGUGUAUGAAUUUUGAAGUCAGUUACUCAGUUGAACCAAGGCAUCUGUUCAAAACAUGAACUUUUUUUCAUUUACUUUUCAAAUAUUACUUCUUGUUCUGUCCUGGUUAUAAACAUAAAACAUGACUACUCUAAAAGUUGUGGAAAAGAAAGAUAAAUAUAAUGAAGAAAUUAAAAAAUUUCCCAUGUAACAAAUUAUAUUCCCAUCCAAUAUUUUCUUUUUAUGCAAGCAAAUAUAUAUUUAAAUAGUUAUAAUAGUCUAUACAAUUUUAUCUUCUGUAUAAACUGUUAAGUGUGGGCUCUCAAGUGCUGUAUCUGGAUUUAUAUCCUGACUCUAACACCUAAUAAGCUUAAGGAUCUUGGUUCAAGUUCCUAUCUCUCUGUGUUGAACUUUUUCCAUUUGUAAAAUGGAGAUAGUAAUGGUGCUUACCUUGUAAAAUUUGUUUUGAGGAUUAAAUUAGUUAAUACAUAUAAAACUGACUCAUACAAGAAUAGCUGGCUCAUAAUACUCUAUUAAUUUUAUUAUUAUUUAAUGUAACAAUAUUUUUUCAUAAUCAAAAGGUAAAAGGACUCUAUAAACAUAACCUUUUGUAGACUUUGAACUAUUCUCUAGUACUAUCCCUACCCUAAUUUAUCAGUUUUCUUAUUUUUGUUGAUUAUAAUGCUGUUCUGAAAAUCUUUGUAUGUGACUUUUUGCUCAUAGACAUGAAUUUCCUGUAGGUAGUAAGAAGUAAAUCUAACAGGUGUCUAUAUCAAAAUGCAGAUUUAGGGUUCUUCAUACAUAUGUCCAGCCCUUUGAUGAUAUAUUUCUGGAAUUUAGGAACAGUUAAGGCUAUGACUUGUUAUUGAUAAAUUAGCCUCUGCUGGAAAUGGAAGUGGGUAGAAGAGCUUGUUUCUGCUUUCUCCUCAUCCCAAACUAUUUAUUAAUUCAACAAGAAUCAAAGGGUGCUGUGGAGCACAAUAAAGGGAAGAUGGCUUAAUCCUACUCUUGUUUAUCUUUGAGUUGUAGAGGUCAGAGUUCAAUGAAGCUGUCUGGACUUGAGUGUGAGUGUGGGUUAUUGUUGGUGAAAAUGGGACAUACAUUUAUGUUAAAGGUAAUAACUCUACCAUUUAUGUUUAGCAAAAGGUCAAAGAAUACUUGGCAGAUCCUCAUGGUAGACAUUGCUAUCAUAAUUUGUGAGCAAAUUAAUAUUAAAUAUAUUCAUGAGCUAUCAUAAGACAAUAUUGGGCUAAAUUUAUGUUCAUUUUUAUUGUAAUUCUUUACACAAAUAUUUUCACUCUGAAUAUAUAUCAUAUUAUGGAGGCAUUAUAAAAUAGUAAAAGUGCAUGAAUUUUGAAGUCACAUAGACCUUGGUUCAAAUCCCGGCUCCAGUACUUAUGAAUCAUAUAGUCUUGAGGUAAAAAGAGAUUCUGCUAUGUCACUUUUCUAAUCUAUAAAGCGAGUGUUUGUGUGUGUUUGCACAUAUAUGUCUGUCUAUCUAUCUAGAUAUAAUUCUAAAUUAGCAAAUAAACCAUGUAUAAAUUAAUCAAGUGUAUUUUAGAGCAAUUAGGCUGCAGUCUGGAAUCUAGGAGACUAUACAAGCUUGAAAUUAGAAGUUUUUGAAAUUUAUAACUUAAAAAAAAUGGGCAGGCAUGGUGGCUCACACCUGUAAUCCCAGCACUUUGGGAGGCCGAGGUGGGCGGAUCACGAUCAGGAGUUUGAGACCAACCUGGCCAAUAUGGUGAAACCUGUCUCAAAGAUACAAAAAAUUAGCUGGACGUGUUGGCACAUGCCUGUAAUCCCAGUUACUCGGGAGGCUGAGGCAGGAGAAUCACUUGAACCUGGGAGGUGGAAGUUGCAGUGAGCCCAGAUCGCGUCUUUGCGCUUUAGCCUGGGUGACAGGGCAAGACUCUGUCUCCAAAAAAAAAAAAAAAAAAAAGAAUUUUUAAAUUUUAGUAAUUAAUAAUCAAGCCAAACUCCAUUUUAAUCAGCACUGGAAUUGAUUUAUAUAGAAGUAUGAGACCAAAUAUACCUACCUUAUAAUACUCCCUUUUCCCCUUUGGUAUCAAAAAAUGGAAUGAGGUUCUUUUCUCUAGACUGAUGCUUCUGUAAUCACAGCUCUGUCCCCAACCUAUUCAGAUGGCUUCCCUGUAUUACCAGCAUGACCCUUCCAUAGUCAGGCCAGUACUGUCUGUAUUUUAGGACCUUUCAUUGCUUAUUCCUACCUUCCUGUAGAUUUCUGUUUUCAGGAAGCUUAUAGCCUACUAAAGAAGAACAUCAAACUAAGUAGUUAUUGAAAACAGAGAUGAGUGUUGUAUGGAAAUUUACAGAGUGUGAUAGCAACAGAGAGCCGGGGGACCUAAUCUGGGAUUUCUGAGAAGCGCCAUUUAUUCAUUCAACAAAUACUUGAUGGACACUUAGUAUGGACCAGACAUGUGUUAGGUCUAGUUGGGUAUUUAAAAGGAAA